AUGCCUCAAUGACAAUAUAUUGAAUCGCACCGCAAGUGCUAUGUAUAACGUUUGGAUACCAUACUUAGUAUCAUUUGGGACUAAGCUUUACCAUAAAUAGUGCCAUGCUGAGAAAAUACAGAUGAAAAAGACUAUUAAGAUGCAUGAAAAGAGAAACCGCAAGCAAAAGCACGACGGGAAGACGCCACAGGGAGCAGUUCCUGCCUGUCUGCUGGACAGAGAGGGGCAGUCGAGGGCAAAAUUACUUUCCAACAUGAUUAAGCAGAAACAAGAAGAGAAGGCAGGAAAAUGGGAAGUUCCUCUACCCAAAGUUCGUGGCCAAGGAGAAUCAGAAGUAUUGAAAGUUAUUCAAACAGGAAAGAAAAAAAACGAAGGCAGGGAAGAGAAUGGUUACUAACGCGUGCUCUGUUGGUGAUGGUUUGACAUAAAAUGCAUCUAAAUAUGAAAGGUUCAUUAGGCCACUGGGCCCAUGCUUCCAAAAGCCCAUGUCACACACCCUGAGCUGAAAGCCACCUUUAGCCUGUCAAUAUGUGGUGUGAACAAGAAUCCAUCAUCCCCAUUGUAUUCAAAUCUGGUGUGAUCACCAAAGGUGCAGUUACUGAGAGAAUGUGAGCGAGCCAGGCCUUGUGACACAGGAGGGAGGGUGAUUUGGGGUGAGUGUGCCCAAGUUACUGAAAACAACAGGUGCAUAAGUGAGGUCUUGCUGAUC